rnacentral:tRNA from 1 species
UGUGUUGUAGCUCACUGGUAGAGCGCUUUUCUAGCAUGUGUGAGGCGCUGGGUUUGAUACCCGGCACCACAU